UAGGGAAUCUUCCACAAUGGGCGAAAGCCUGAUGGAGCAACGCCGCGUGAGUGAAGAAGGUUUUCGGAUCGUAAAACUCUGUUGUAAGGGAAGAACAAGUACAGUAGUAACUGGCUGCACCUUGACGGUACCUUAUUAGAAAGCCACGGCUAACUACGUGCCAGCAGCCGCGGUAAUACGUAGGUGGCAAGCGUUGUCCGGAAUUAUUGGGCGUAAAGCGCGCGCAGGCGGUCCUUUAAGUCUGAUGUGAAAGCCCUCGGCUCAACCGAGGAGGGUCAUUGGAAACUGGAGGACUUGAGUGCAGAAGAGGAAAGUGGAAUUCCAAGGUGUAGCGGUGAAAUGCGUAGAGAUUUGGAGGAACACCAGUGGCGAAGGCGACUUUCUGGUCUGUAACUGACGCUGAGGCGCGAAAGCGUGGGGAGCAAACAGGAUUAGAUACCC
rnacentral:rRNA from 1 species